rnacentral:lncRNA from 1 species
GGGGAGUGUUCCCUCUGGAAUGGCUUUCUGAUGCCCCAACUCGUCGGAUUGGAAUAAUGCCAGCACAGGACUGUGGCUUCUUCCCGUGGGAGUUGGAAAUCGGAAACCUAGAAAGCAGAUUGGAGCAAGCAUCCACACAAGGAGUGUCCCACAAUUAUAGUGGAAUGAUGAACAAGGGGUAGGACAGCAUGGAACCCCAGGCUUCACUGGAAGCAGAGCAGCAAAGAAGGAGAGAAGAGAAGAAGCAGCUUAACAUCAGUGAGAAGCAGCUUGACUUCAGAGGGACGGCUUGAUGGUGGAAUCUCAGAGAGAGUUCAGCUGGGGACGGCCAGACUCCAGGAGAAGAUCACAUUCCCACUCCAUUCCCUUUCCAGCUCUCCAUCCCACUGACAGCCACUUUCAUCAGCAAUAAAAUCUCCUGAAUUUACCAUCUUCAACUCAUUUGUGUGACCCAAUUCUUCCUGGACACCGAACAAGAGCUCGAGAUACAGAGGGUUGUCACACUGAGCUGUUAAACACCUAAGCUGUCCACGGAUGGCAAAGCUAAAAGAGCACACUGUAAC